ensembl:lncRNA
CAGUGUGCUGCCUCAGUUCCUCCAGGGUGAUCCGUGUCUACAGAGCUGAAGACAAGACAGUGUGAGGGCAACUCUAAUUUAGGCCAGCAAAAUGUGUGGCUCACACUGCCCUGAUGAACCCUAGUGAGUUCUGCUCCCCAGGCCUGCACAUUCAUCCAGUUCAUCCAUGUGCCACCCAGUCACAGAGUCUACUUCAGAAAACGCCUUUCCCCUGGAGAACCUGGUUUCAGUAUGGAGAACAAAUUGGCAGCUGACUCGUUUGGGGACAUAGGAGUGAGAACUGAGACCAAACUAUGGUGGAGGUGAUGAAGAUGAUGGCAACCUCCUUUAAAAGGUCCCGUGCACACGCUGCUGCACUCGGUGCCCAGACUCUGCAGCAGGCCACCACCAACCCACGCCUCUGCCCGAGACUCCUGGACACGCACAGGAUCUGUCUGGUACUCAAUCAACCCUUAUCCACCUGUGGUGGGAAUCCUGAAUGCUCUCUCUCAAAGUACUGGAGUGGAUUCCAGGGGCUUCCAGGGAAUCUGGGUCCAAUGAGUGUGAGGACACAGCAGAAAAACAGGCAUCUGUGAAGCAGAAGAGGAACUUCACCAGAUAACAAAUCUGCUGGCACCUUUAUCUUGGACCCUCCAGCCUCCAGAACUGUGAGAAAUAAAUGUCUGU